UUCCUGAUGGCAAAGAUAGCCAAGUGGAUUGUGAUGCCAAGAAUGGUUCGGGAUCAGUUGUCUACAAUGGUUCGGCCAAGCCAGAUGUCACAAUCACCAUGAACGACAACGACCUUGUUGAUCUGAUGGAAGGGAAGCUGAACCCACAGAAGGCCUUCUUCCAAGGAAAGUUGAAGAUAAAGGGAAACAUGGGCUUGGCCAUGAAGUUACAAGAAUUCCAAAAAGAUACCAAACAGCUCAAGGCCAAGCUCUAGGGUUUAGAUGCCUUUUCUUACCACUUACCCUUUUCUUCCUCUUUCUUUUCUAAUUGUCUCAUUCUCCUCUUCCUCUUCCUCUUCUCUUGCCCCAUUCAUCCGUUAAAUUCACUUUUUAAUGCUUCUAUAUUCAGAAUACAUCCUCCUCUUUGGUAUCAUUAUGCAUCUAUAACACUUUCAAGAAGACAAGAAAUGGUACAUAAAAAAAAAAAAAAUCAAAUAACAAGGGUUGAUGGUAAGAGAAAAGCCAUUUGAAUGCAACAUCAGUGUGUAUGUCUCCAUUUUUUAAAUAUUAAAAUUGGAUUUAUAGUAGUCCAGAGGAGAUUGAAUUGAUAAAUGCCUCAAGGACUGGCCCAGGCACUUGACGUUAAAAAGAGCUUUGAAAUCUUGCUCAGAUAUAUGACACAGAUUUAAUCGCAUCCUAGAAAUGUCCAACUUUAGAAAGAACUCCACCAAAGAAACAGGAAGCAAGGAUAUGGCUGGUGAUGAAUUGCAAAUGAGUCAAAAUCCUAUGCAUAAUAUUAUCUGACCAUCAUAAACACCACAAAUUCUCAGUUCCACAAUGUAUAUGCAUUGAAAAAUAAAAUAAGAGGAAUUUCACA